rnacentral:rRNA from 1 species
UACGUAGGGGGCAAGCGUUGUCCGGAAUUAUUGGGCGUAAAGAGCUUGUAGGCGGUUUGUCGCGUCUGCUGUGAAAUUUCGGGGCUCAACCCCGAACUUGCAGUGGGUACGGGCAGACUAGAGUGUGGUAGGGGAGACUGGAAUUCCUGGUGUAGCGGUGAAAUGCGCAGAUAUCAGGAGGAACACCGGUGGCGAAGGCGGGUCUCUGGGCCGAUACUGACGCUGAGGAGCGAAAGCGUGGGGGAGCGAACAGG